UGGGGAAUAUUGGACAAUGGGCGAAAGCCUGAUCCAGCAAUGCCGCGUGAGUGAUGAAGGCCCUAGGGUUGUAAAGCUCUUUUACCCGGGAUGAUAAUGACAGUACCGGGAGAAUAAGCUCCGGCUAACUCCGUGCCAGCAGCCGCGGUAAUACGGAGGGAGCUAGCGUUGUUCGGAAUUACUGGGCGUAAAGCGCGCGUAGGCGGUCUUUUAAGUCAGAGGUGAAAGCCCGGGGCUCAACCCCGGAAUUGCCUUUGAAACUGGAAGACUUGAAUCUUGGAGAGGUCAGUGGAAUUCCGAGUGUAGAGGUGAAAUUCGUAGAUAUUCGGAAGAACACCAGUGGCGAAGGCGACUGACUGGACAAGUAUUGACGCUGAGGUGCGAAAGCGUGGGGAGCAAACA
rnacentral:rRNA from 1 species